UUACGACCAAAUCACGUUGAAACCAUUGGUUCUCGUACGAUCACCCGAUUUAAGCAACGUCGAGCCUAGUCAGUACCUAGAUGGGUGACCGCUUGGGAAUACCAGGUACUGUAU